AUGCUGGAGGUAUCAGAAGUGCGAAUGCUGACAUAAGUAACGAUAAAGCGGGUGAAAAGCCCGCUCGCCGGAAGACCAAGGGUUCCUGUCCAACGUUAAUCGGGGCAGGGUGAGUCGACCCCUAAGGCGAGGCCGAAAGGCGUAGUCGAUGGGAAACAGGUUAAUAUUCCUGUACUUGGUGUUACUGCGAAGGGGGGACGGAGAAGGCUAUGUUGGCCGGGCGACGGUUGUCCCGGUUUAAGCGUGUAGGCUGGUUUUCCAGGCAAAUCCGGAAAAUCAAGGCUGAGGCGUGAUGACGAGGCACUACGGUGCUGAAGCAACAAAUGCCCUGCUUCCAGGAAAAGCCUCUAAGCAUCAGGUAACAUCAAAUCGUACCCCAAACCGACACAGGUGGUCAGGUAGAGAAUACCAAGGCGCUUGAGAGAACUCGGGUGAAGGAACUAGGCAAAAUGGUGCCGUAACUUCGGGAGAAGGCACGCUGAUAUGUAGGUGAAGCGACUUGCUCGUGGAGCUGAAAUCAGUCGAAGAUACCAGCUGGCUGCAACUGUUUAUUAAAAACACAGCACUGUGCAAACACGAAAGUGGACGUAUACGGUGUGACGCCUGCCCGGUGCCGGAAGGUUAAUUGAUGGGGUUAGCGGUAACGCGAAGCUCUUGAUCGAAGCCCCGGUAAACGGCGGCCGUAACUAUAACGGUCCUAAGGUAGCGAAAUUCCUUGUCGGGUAAGUUCCGACCUGCACGAAUGGCGUAAUGAUGGCCAGGCUGUCUCCACCCGAGACUCAGUGAAAUUGAACUCGCUGUGAAGAUGCAGUGUACCCGCGGCAAGACGGAAAGACCCCGUGAACCUUUACUAUAGCUUGACACUGAACAUUGAGCCUUGAUGUGUAGGAUAGGUGGGAGGCUUUGAAGUGUGGACGCCAGUCUGCAUGGAGCCGGCCUUGAAAUACCACCCUUUAAUGUUUGAUGUUCUAACGUUGGCCCCUGAUCGGGGUUGCGGACAGUGUCUGGUGGGUAGUUUGACUGGGGCGGUCUCCUCCUAAAGAGUAACGGAGGAGCACGAAGGUUGGCUAAUCCUGGUCGGACAUCAGGAGGUUAGUGCAAUGGCAUAAGCCAGCUUGACUGCGAGCGUGACGGCGCGAGCAGGUGCGAAAGCAGGUCAUAGUGAUCCGGUGGUUCUGAAUGGAAGGGCCAUCGCUCAACGGAUAAAAGGUACUCCGGGGAUAACAGGCUGAUACCGCCCAAGAGUUCAUAUCGACGGCGGUGUUUGGCACCUCGAUGUCGGCUCAUCACAUCCUGGGGCUGAAGUAGGUCCCAAGGGUAUGGCUGUUCGCCAUUUAAAGUGGUACGCGAGCUGGGUUUAGAACGUCGUGAGACAGUUCGGUCCCUAUCUGCCGUGGGCGCUGGAGAACUGAGGGGGGCUGCUCCUAGUACGAGAGGACCGGAGUGGACGCAUCACUGGUGUUCGGGUUGUCAUGCCAAUGGCACUGCCCGGUAGCUAAAUGCGGAAGAGAUAAGUGCUGAAAGCAUCUAAGCACGAAACUUGCCCCGAGAUGAGUUCUCCCUGAGACUUAGAGUCUCCUGAAGGAACGUUGAAGACGACGACGUUGAUAGGCCGGGUGUGUAAGCGCAGCGAUGCGUUGAGCUAACCGGUACUAAUGAACCGUGAGGCUUAACCUUACAACGCCGAAG
rnacentral:rRNA from 1 species